CCUACGGGUGGCAGCAGUGGGGAAUCUUGCACAAUGGGGGAAACCCUGAUGCAGCGACGCCGCGUGAGUGACGCAGGCUUUCGGUCUGUAAAGCUCUAUCAGCAGGGAAGAAAAUGACGGUAACUGAUUAAGCAGCCCCGGCUAACUACGUGCCAGCAGCCGCGGUAAUACGUAGGGGGCAAGCGUUAUCCGGAUUUACUGGGGGUAAAGGGAGCGGAGACGGCAGCACAAGUCUGGAGUGAAAUGCCUGGGCUUAACCCGGGUACUGCGUUGGAAACUGUGCAGCUAGAGUGCAGGAGAGGUAAGUGGAAUUCCAAGUGUAGCGGUGAAAUGCGUAGAUAUUAGGAGGAACACCAGUGGCGAAGGCGGCUUACUGGACUGUAACUGACGUUGAGGUUCGAAAGCGUGGGGAGCAAACAGGAUUAGAUACCCGAGUAGUC
rnacentral:rRNA from 1 species